AAAUCGAUCCGAAAGGAUUUUCUUAACAAGUGUUUGAAUGGUCAAAGAAAUAUGGACCUGUGGUAACCAUUCGCACAGGUCCUGUACAUUUUAUAACUGUGAAUACAAUAGAAACUGCCUUAGAAGUACUUGUAAGAAAAUCUACAGAUUUUGCUGGGCGUAUGUUGACACCAUCAGUUGAUAAGCUAUCAAGUGGAGGGAAGGACAUUGUUUUCAGUAGUUACAGCCCAACAUGGAAACUUCAUAGGGCAAUUGCAACAAAUGCUUUACGG